rnacentral:tRNA from 1 species
CGGGGGUUAGUUUAAUGGUUAGAACGUUUUUUAUUUGCCGCGGAAUUAUUGUUUUGCUAACAGUAAUACAAACUAAAAAAAGACAAAAGGUUCAAUUCCUUUUACCCCCAC